rnacentral:lncRNA from 1 species
CACACAGCUAAGGGUCAGCAGCAACACACUGCACUCCUGACUCCUGCUCUGAUACUUGCCUCACUGGAACCGUCAUCCCCUCUCAUGUGGCAAAUGCAGCUGGGUAUGUGGUCAGUGCAACCUGUACUUCUACAGCCACCAGCCUGCAGGCUGGACCCCAUUAGAGUGAGGAACGGAACCCCUGCUAGCCAGCCUCAGGUGACAAAACUGAGGCUCAGAGGCCAAUGGCCUUGUUCAAGGUCACACGCCCACUAAAUGAGAGACCCGGAGACCUGGCAUCACACGUUACAGUGGUGCCCCCUAGGAACUCUGCUUAUCAGAUGGUCAACUAACCCAAGUUGGACCAAUUAGGGUCCCUUCCUGGAAAAUGAAGAAUUGGGGUGGAGAGGAAGUUAGGUCUGCAAUAUGUCAACUGCCAUGUUUCCAAUUAGAAGAAGCAGAGAAAGCUGUUAUGGAGAGGAGAGAGAGAAGAAUGAAAAGAUAUAAGACAGGAGCAAAGAAAUGAAGCCUGCUGUUGUUUGAGACUCUGAUUCUGGUUUGCUUCAGCAACAUCCUUGUACCUUUAUAUGAAGGAUAUCCCUACAUCUUUAUAAUAAAUAGCCAUGUUUUUGACUAACACCUCCAAUUGGUUUCUGUUGCUUGUAGCCAGAAGAAUUCUAAUUAGUAGUGAAUAACAGUUUGCUUUUCAAUCUCCCACGGCACCUACCUCAUAACAACCUGUUUCCUAGUAGAUGCUCAAUACAUAUUUGCUAAAUUGGACAGAAGAUGUCAUUCAUUCCUCCUUGCAGGUGCUCGCCCAGCCUCUGUUUGGAACUUGCAGUGCUUCUAACUCAUCACCUCCCGAGACACCCCAUUCCACUAAUGAGCAGCUCUGACACCUCCACAGUGGUCCCGUGGCCCCUCUUUAUCAUGGUAACUCUGCAAACAUAGGAAGUCUUCUCUUUUCUGAAACAUCCCCAGCUUCACCAACUGUUCCCCAUAAGGCACUAUUUCCAGAUCUUUCUUUCUCUGAUAACAGUCCUCAGGACAAACUCCUGUUGGUCAGUGUCUCUCUUAGAUUAAAG